ensembl:lncRNA
AAUUUUUUACUUGGAAUAAUAAUGGGUAAUUAAUGAAAAGGACUGAAUCUGUGUAAAAGCUUUCAGUAAAAUCUUUUUCAGAAUAACUCUUCAAAAAUAGGAUUCUAGAAUUCAAUUAUCCCUUUCUGUAACCUUAAGAAUUUACUUAGUUGAUUUGAGCCUUCAUACAAUGCUAAAUUCUACAUAACCAAAAAUUCCAGAAAUGUAGAUCAAAGCAAUAAUUAAUUCUCAACCUUUUAAGAUCAUCAUUUUUCAAAGGGGCUUCCUGCCCAGUUUUAACUGUCUGGUGCUAAAAAUGAUAAGCAAACACUUCAGUCAAUAGACCGCUUAUAUUCCUUACUCUGUUCUCAGAGUGACUGAGUGCCUUGAUUCCAGCAGUGAUUGUCCCAGUCUGCUUUUCUCCUUAGGUUUCCAUUGUGACUGUUAACUGCAGAAACCCAGCCCAGAACCGAGGAUCCCAGGAUCUGCACGUUGCAAGUGAUACCAAAGAGGUUUGUCAUAGCUUUUCUUCCAAGAAGGAUGCUUAUUCAGGCAAGCUGUUGUUGCCCAGACUUCAGAGGAAUGUUGGACAGAAAAUUCUCAGCUCACAUUUGGAGUUACCAGAACAGUUUCCACGUGACUGCAAAAAACUUGACUUGGAAAGGAGUAAAACUCAGAGGAGGCCUUGGAUGAUGGUAAGUCUAGCAAGAAAGGACAGUCACCCUGGGUCAAGGCCAAAGGAGGGGCCAGCUGCAUCUAAGCAGAAUAGAAGUGAAGCCAUCCAAGAACAGACUGCUUAAAACUUUAAACCUGUGCCAAGUUUAUUGAGGAAUGUGAGACUGUGUACUUGCAAAUUACCUCAACACUAUAUCAUCUGUAUUCUGAAAAUUUCUCACACUGCAAUAGAGACUUAGAGCCUUUUCAAAUGUUUUUUAGUCUGUGAUUCUGCGAUCCUAAGUGAGUUGUGUAAGCUAUGCACUCUGAAGGUGCUGUGUUCCUGCGGACAUCACCAGGAUUGAGUAUUGCUGAGAAGAAGAGGGAAAACGAAAAAAAUCAGUGAUCUUUCAUGUGUGGUCUUGGGGGGAACUAUUUUGCAUUGUGAUUACCCAGAAACUUGUCCAAAGCAAGUGCUCAAAGGAACCCAAUGAGAAGCGACUUAUUCAUGCCUUAAAUUUGAGUGCCCCAUCUGGAAACUGUCUGUCUUUUAGUCACAUUUGCAUGCUGGAAAAACUACAUUUAAAAAAAAUCACAGCAGAUAAUAAUUAUAAACCUCUAAAAUUUUUUAUUUGUUUAUUUAUUUUUACUGUGCUGGAUCUGCCUUGCUGCUCCGGCUUAUUUUUCUAGUUGUGGCAGGUGGGGGCCACUCUCUAGUUGUCGUGCGUGGGCUUCUCACUGUGGUGGCCUGUUUUGCAGAGCACAGGCUCUAGGGGCUCAGUAGCUGUGACACAUGGGCUCAGUAAUUGUGCCUCCUGGGCUCUAGAACACAGGCUCUCAAUAGUUGUGGUACGCAGGGUUAGCUGCUGCUCGGCAUGUGGGAUCUUUCCUGAUCAGGGAUCGAACAUACAUCUCCUGCACUGGCAGGUGGAUUAUUUAUCACUGAGCCACCAGGGAAGGCCAUUAAUUAUAAAUCUUCAACACAAUUAGAGCAUAAGCUUGCUUUGUCUAUAUUCUAGCCAACUACAUUUGUGACAAAAAAAUAACAGAAAGCUAAGAAAAAUAUUAAUGAUUGAUGACAAUUUUUUCACAAAAAGGAAAAUAAAGUGUUACUAAUAAAUAUUAUUUGAGUUCCAGGAGCACUCUGUCAUCUCAUACUAACUGUUCUUUAAGUUGGGUACAGAUAAAAUUUCUUUCACAAGCACCAGAUUAUGAGCUCAUACAGUUUUUCCCUUAAUACUGCUGCUACUGCUGCUAAGUCACUUCAGUCAUGUCCGACUCUGUGUGACCCCAUAGACGGCAGCCCACCAGGCUCCCCCAUCCCUGGGAUUCUCCAGACAAGGACACUGGAGUGGGUUGCCAUUUCCUUCUCCAAUGCAUGAAAGUGAAAAGUGAAAGGGAAGUCACUCAGUCGUGUCCAACUCUUAGCGACCCCAUGGACUGCAGCCUACCAGGCUCUUCCAUCCAAGGGUUUUUCCAGGCAAGAGUACUGGAGUGGGGUGCCAUUGCCUUCUCCAUCCCUUAAUACUAAAAAAUAAUAAAAUAUGAAAAAAAAGUUCCCAAAUAGGUACUAUUAUGUAUAAAAUAAGCUACAAAGAUAUAUUGUACAAUACAGGAAACAGAACCAAUGUUUUAUAACAAUAUAGGAUUUAUUUUAAAUCACUGCUAUUAUUAUCUUGAUUGACACUCUUAUCAUCCUGUCUUUGAUCCAUGGAAAUAAACCUCUUCAAGCUGAUUUUCAUGUUUUUUUGAUAGUUUUGCUUCUUUGUCUUUUGUCAUCCAUAAGAUCACUCCUGCUUUAGAUGCCAGUCAUGAGUCCAGAUGUCUGGUGUUUCUGACUAAGCCUUAUAUCAGGAGCUCCCACAAUCCCCUCCUCAGUUUAGACAGUUUGCUAGAAUAGCUCACAGAACUCAGGAAAACAACCUACUCACUAUUUCUGAUUUAUCAUGAAGGAUACAAGUCAGGGGAGGUGUACAGGGCAAGGUAUUGGGGCUGGUUGGCCACACAAAGCUUUCAUGCUCUCUCCACACAGGCCACCCUCCCAGAAAGACGCUCUCCCAACCCUGUUGUCUUUGGGAAAUUCCAUUACUUAAGAUUAAUUAAACCAUUGACCAUUGGUGAUUAAAUCUAUCUCCAUUCCAUCUCCCCUUCCCCACAGAUUGCAGGUGGGAAUAAAAGUUUAAACUUCUAAUCAUGCCUUUUUGUAUGCUAAUGAAAGAACAGUCCUCUCAUUAGGAUACAAAAGGACACUCCUCUUUCUAGAGAUUCCAAGGGUCUUAAAUGCUCUGGUAUAAGGAAUCUGUGUCAAAGACUGAUUGACUAUUAGGACAAAAGAUGCUUUGAGCACCCUAUCGUUUAGGAAAUUACAAGGGUUUUAGGAGCUCUAUGUCAGGAAUUGGAGUAGAGACUAAAUUUAUACUUCUUAUUAGGUCACAAUAUCAUCAUCUCAAUUUUGGAAAAAAUAUAUACAGAAAAAUAGCUAUAUGGUAGUAAACCAAAAUAUUAACAUUGUGGUGAUCUUUGUUUUCGAUUUGUGCUGUUAUUCCUUUUUAAGGGGCUUCCAAGAACCUGACUGCCAAUGAAGGGGACUUAGGAGAGUUUGAUCCCUGGGUCCGGAGGAUCUCCUGGCAUAGGAAAUGGCAACCUGCUCCAGUAUCCUUGUCUGGGAAAUCCCAUGGACAGAGGAGCCUGGCAAGCUACAGUCUACGGGGCCACAAAGAGUUGGACAUGACUGAGUGCACACACACACACACACACAUUUCAUUUUAAUUUACAAUUUGUACUUUAUAAUUUUAUAAUAAAAAUAAAGGACAUGAGUGAAUUGUAGCUAAUUCAAAGCUAGAAGAUUGGUGUGAAGAAUUAUCUACAGAUCUUCCUCUACUAUAUGCCUGGGCUUAAGUCCUAAUAAAUCCAUCAUAAGUUGAAAAUGGUAUAUGUCGAAAUGCAUUCAAUACACCACUGAACAUCAUAGCUGAGCCUAGCCUACAUUCAAUGUACUCAGAACACUUGCAUUAGCCUACAGUUGGGCAAAAUCAUCUAACACAAAGCCUAUUUUAUAAUAAACCGUUGAAUGUCUCAUGUAAUUUAUUGACUACUGCACUGAAAGUGAAUAACAGCAUGUUCAUAUGGCUACAGAAAACUUGAAAAUGUGUCUGUAUUUACCCUCCUGGUGGGGUGGCUGACUUGGAGCUGCUGCCACACCCAGCAUCACCAGAGAGAAAAGCAAUGCAUAUGGCUAGCUUUAGAAAAGAUCACAAUUCACAACUCAAAUUACAGUUUCUACUGAAUCCAUAUCACUUUUGCCUAAUCAUAAAGGCAAGAAAUUGAAAGUCAGAACCAGU